UGGGAGGGGCUUAAGGAGGAGCUGGAGCUGGGAUGGUGCCGUGGGUGGGGUGUAUACGGGUGUGCCUCAUUUGCAUAUGAUUUGCAUAUGAGUUUCCAGGUACUUAUAGUUUGUGAAUUCAUUAUUAGCUAUUCAUUUGCAUACUCAUUUACAUAUUGAUUUCUCAUUAAUUUCCUGCAGAACAAGGGCUCCCUCCAAGUCCCCCCGCCCCCGCUCCACAGGCCCCGCCCCCCCCACCAGGGAGGGGGGCGUGGCCUCGCUAAGCCCCACCCCUUUCUCCACCCACAGGAGCGCUACAAGCCCCGCCCCCACUCUGCCCCUCACACCCUAUUGGUCGCUCUGCUCAGGAGCGAUCAGCCCCUCCUGGAGGCGGAGCUUCUGAGCGUGGCUCCGCCCCUCUGCGCCCGCCCCAUUAUACUCGCUGACCGACCGUGGCCGCCUCCUGGCUCAGCAAUUGGCUGAGAGCACCGAAGCCCCGCCCCUUCCGGUGCACCCCACCCUCUCAGACCCCGCCCACACGGCGAUGGCUGCCGAUAGCUCCGCCCCUUCCGGUGACCACGCCCCUGUAAGCUCCGCCUCUUCUGAAGACUCCGCCCCCUCUUUGGACAGCGCUCCGUCCCCAGAGGCUGCCAUCGAGGAACGGGUGGAGCUGCGCCCGGGGCACUUCGAGGUGCUGCUGUGCGCUGAUGUCACCGAGGGCACCGGCCCGGGCCGUUCCCGCGGGGCGCUUCCCCCCCUGCAGGCUGUGGGGCAGCGGGAGGAGCCGCGCCCGCUGGCGGCGGGGGGCUUUCC
rnacentral:lncRNA from 1 species